rnacentral:rRNA from 1 species
CGGCGUGCUUAACACAUGCAAGUCGAACGAGGCUGAUAUUUAGCUUGCUAUUUGAUGCCGAGUGGCAAACGGGUAGAGUAACGCGUAGACAACCUGCCGCAAAGAUGGGGACAACAGUCCGAAGGACUGCUAAUACCGAAUGUUGUCAUUUCUCCGCAUGGAGGGAUGAUUAAAGGUGGCCUCUACUUGUAAGCUAUCGCUUUGCGAUGGGUCUGCGUCUGAUUAGCUAGUUGGUGGGGUAACGGCCUACCAAGGCGACGAUCAGUAGCCGGUCUGAGAGGAUGAACGGCCACAUUGGAACUGAGACACGGUCCAGACUCCUACGGGAGGCAGCAGUGGGGAAUCUUCCGCAAUGGGCGAAAGCCUGACGGAGCAACGCCGCGUGAGUGAAAGAAGGGUUUCGGCUCGUAAAGCUCUGUUGACGGGGACGAAUGUGCGAAAUGCGAACAGUUUUUCGCAAUGACGGUACCCGUCGAGGAAGCCACGGCUAACUACGUGCCAGCAGCUGC